GGUGGUGCGAAUAGAAUCGAUUUGGUUGUCAAACUGAAGCCAAACUUUUCUAUUGUGCCGGAGCCAAACAUUGAAGAUUGUGGUUAUGUUCGUUUCUGAUCUAAUAUUGAGAAGUAUUGUUAUUAUUUGGGGAAAAAAUAAAAAUAAACUUGGUUUGAGUUUUGUAUUCUUUGUAACAAAUAUUUUCACAUUAUAUUUCGAGUGGAAAAUUAGUAGGAAUGCAAAUAAAAAGCACUCGUUACCAUAUUUCACGAUAUUCAGCAGCUGAUUGGAGCAGGAAUGAAUGUAAACAAUCGUAAAGUCAUUUAGAGUCUAGAGCAUUUGUGCGCCCUCGUGCAGCAUGGAAAGAGAAAUUCGAAGAGCGGGAAAUGUUUGACAGCCAAGUAACUGCAAUAUAAUUUUGUUUGUGGUAGUGAUUUCAAAAUAUCCCUCUACUCGCUUGAGCGCUGAAAAACAGCUCUAUCCGCAGCACCCAGAUGUAGAUCAUUCAGCGAAAACGAGAAGCAGCUUCGUAUAAAAUAUCGAGAAAAAUCAUGCUCUUACGAGAUAGUAUUCAGCGAAAUCAGGGAAAGCGCGGCCAUUUAAUUAGGGAGGGAUCUAAACUGGAUGAAGCAACCGUCGACGAUUGUAGGUUGGAAGCAAUUCUAGAAAAGUCGUCGUAGCCUGUAAUUGAAGUAGCUGUUCGUCCUCUCACGUACGACUUUGUGGUGGAUAUGUGGAGCACAUCGUGUGCCGGAUGCCGCAGCCUCAAAAGCACGAUCUAUUUCAUUCAGAGGAGGUAUCUCGAGCUAACGGGACUGGCGGAAUGAUUGCUGCGCGAAGCCGAUAGGUAGCACAUAAUAGUAACCUACAACUUUUCGGCUAGCACUAGGCAGCUAUGAAUACUACUUUGCUACCGACAAGUGGGCCAAGUGGACACGACUCGAAACUCCUACCACCGGAAGUUAUACGCACUGGAUCCUGUUACUACCCUGGAGAAGUAUAGGAGUGAAUCAAAGCACUGUUUGAAUCGAAUCAUUCAGCACCGGCUGCCCACGCGCGGUGCAAAUUUUUCAUCAACUUUGAUACACACAUCAACAUGCUCCGGUGUCAUGUCCCGUAUUUUUAUCGUCGAUCAUCAUCUCGUACCUCCAGUUUUGUAACGACGCUUUCAGUGUUAUAGCCAACGGAGCACCACAACCUCCGCCGCUUCGAAAUACGACAAAAUUUCGGAAAUAUAUCUUGCAGGCCCGGUUCGACAGCAUCAUUGUGGAUCAUGAUGUUCCCAAAUUUUUGUUCGAAGUUUCAAUAUUCGUUGAUAUGCAUGGCUGAACCAAUGUAUUGUAUA